UUGUAAUGAGGUUGGGCUAACAAGAAAAAUUGGUUUUUCCGGAAUGCAAAGUCCUUGAGUUAAGAGAGCUACCAUGAUAUUCAAAAUUUAAGCACAACUCUCUUUCUCACCAAUCUCACUCCUUCCCAACUUUUUCCCCUUUUCUUUUUCUUUUUCAUUGAGCUCCUCUUCAUGCUUUUCUUCUUUUCUUUUCAUUUUCUCAUGAAUUUUUCUUUUCACAACAUUCGAGCUCAAUGGUUUACAAUUGCUUUUCAAUUUUCUUCCAUACAACCCCAAACUUGAACCUUUUCA
rnacentral:lncRNA from 1 species